UUCCUACGGGGCGCAGCAGUGAGGAAUAUUGGUCAAUGGGCGGGAGCCUGAACCAGCCAAGUCGCGUGAGGGAAGACGGUCCUACGGAUUGUAAACCUCUUUUGCCGGGGAGCAACGGGGUCCUUGCGAGGUCCCAAUGAGAGUACCCGGAGAAAAAGCAUCGGCUAACUCCGUGCCAGCAGCCGCGGUAAUACGGAGGAUGCGAGCGUUAUCCGGAUUCAUUGGGUUUAAAGGGUGCGCAGGCGGGCCUUUAAGCCGGCGGUGAA
rnacentral:rRNA from 1 species